AUUGAACGCUGGCGGCAUGCCUUACACAUGCAAGUCGAACGGUAACGCGGGGCAACCUGGCGACGAGUGGCGAACGGGUGAGUAAUAUAUCGGAACGUGCCCAGUAGUGGGGGAUAACCAGUCGAAAGACUGGCUAAUACCGCAUACGGCCUACGGGUGAAAGCGGGGGAUCGCAAGACCUCGCGCUAUUGGAGCGGCCGAUGUCAGAUUAGGUAGUUGGUGAGGUAAAGGCUCACCAAGCCUUCGAUCUGUAGCUGGUCUGAGAGGACGACCAGCCACACUGGGACUGAGACACGGCCCAGACUCCUACGGGAGGCUG
rnacentral:rRNA from 1 species